CAUUACAUAAAGACAGUAGACCCGUAUAAGAAAAUAAGUUAGCAUAACUUACCUGUAAAAUCCAUCCAUCUAACUGCAAAGAGGUAAGCGCGCGCAACAAUAUAUGUUGCCUAUAGCGUGUAGGCAGCGAGGUAAGUCCGUCUACAGGUCAAUUAAUGAAGAUUGUUUCACGGCGUGACUGCAUGACUGACUGAGUUUGAUUGUUUGGAAAUUCAAUUUGCAACAAAAAACAAGCAGUACAAUUAAAAGAUAGACGACCUUGCUAUGGUGUAACUAAUAACUCCAAUAAAAACAAUAAAAAAAAUGUAUUUACUACAUCUGGAUAGUUGCUAAUAUAUUGGCCAUUCUCCUGCCAUUUCUCAACUGAUAAAACCACGCAAAUUGCCGCUGCACUUUGUUCUGUUGCUGCUGGGUGCUCUCGUCUUUUAUCAAAGUUCUUCGAAAUUAUACACACGGGCGCAAUUACUUUACUAGACUUGGUUACAACAUACAAUAUACAAUGUACUUCAGCGGGACUGAUAAGCGUCGAAUAUGAUAUGAUUUUUUUAAAAAACAUUAAAAAUAUCGAAAAAUGCUUUUGUUUCCAUUGGGUUCGCCGUGGUUGAUGGCACAGCUGAGCUCGAGAAAGGGUGUGAGAUGAUGCAAUCGCUACAACUUGAAAACAUGCUUCUUUGGGGAAUUGAUAACAUGGAAUCGUUUAAAGCUCAUAACAGUAAUCGUGCAAAAAUAACCAAUUUCCGCAUAGACAUAAU